GCCCCUGUGGUGAAAUUGGUAGACACGGUAGACUCAAAAUCUGCAGUCCUUCGGGGCGUGCUGGUUCGAUUCCGGCCAGGGGCACCA
rnacentral:tRNA from 1 species